UACGUAGGGACCAAGCGUUGUUCGGAUUUACUGGGCGUAAAGGGCGCGUAGGCGGCGCGACAAGUCACUUGUGAAAUCUCUGAGCUUAACUCAGAACGGCCAAGUGAAACUGUUGUGCUAGAGUGCAGAAGGGGCAAUCGGAAUUCCUGGUGUAGCGGUGAAAUGCGCAGAUAUCAGGAGGAACACCGGUGGCGAAGGCGGUUCUCUGGGCAUGUCCUGACGCUGAGGAGCGAAAGUGUGGGGAGCGAACAGG
rnacentral:rRNA from 1 species